UACGACGGGGGCUAGCGUUGUUCGGAAUUACUGGGCGUAAAGCGCCCGUAGGCGGAUCUUUAAGUCAGGGGUGAAAUCCCAGAGCUCAACUCUGGAACUGCCUUUGAUACUGGGUAUCUUGAGUAUGGAAGAGGUAAGUGGAAUUCCGAGUGUAGAGGUGAAAUUCGUAGAUAUUGGGAAGAACACCGGUGGCGAAGGCGGCUCUCUGGACCGACACUGACGCUGAGGCGCGAAAGCGUGGGGAGCAAACAGG
rnacentral:rRNA from 1 species